GAGGGAUCACGUAGUCGGCCUGAGAAGCACAGAGACGAAUGGGCAGAAUGCUGCACGCUCAGUUCCACGUGUAAGAGGGGGAUUUCACCAGGCAGGCCCAGAGGCUUCUGUAACAGCUGGAUUCACCCUGAGCGAGCAGGGAUGGACCGAGAACAAUGGUAAAGAAACCAGGCCUAAGAGAGCUUGCAAAACCUGGUGAGUGUGGGGGCUGGGCUGGAGGCCGGGCUGUCUGUGUUGGCUCCUGCAGCUGAAAUCUCGCGUGGCCCUCCCCUGAGCAUUCAGGUAAAACCCAGGACAGCAGCUUGGCACACAGAGGCAGAGAGACGGAGAAUUAUCUUGGACAGAUGUUAUUUUCCCAACCCCAGCACCACUCAUCUUCUGGUCCAAGGGCCACUCUAAACGUCAUGCCCCUAAAGUCACAAGGUUGUGGGUAAUUGUCCAGACUGGAAAGUGUAACCAUCCAAAGUGUUAGACACAAAAGACGGGCUGGCUUUCCAGUUUCUCAAGGAAUCUCCCAAAGAGUGAAGCUGGUGCUUUUAGAAUCCACAGCCCUGGGUUCAAAAUCCUACCUCUGAUCUUUACUAGUUACUUGAUGUUGGACCAGUAUUAGCAUUUAAAGUUCAUUUCCCUCACCUGUGAAACAAGAUUAAGACGCGUGCCCACCUCGUGUUUUUGUGAGAAUCAACUGACAUGAUAUGCGCACCCGUGGAGGGCUCAGCCAGGCCUGGCACAGGUUACGUGCUUGGUUAAGGUUACUGAGCCAGCGGCAAUCGCACAGCAGGGCUACCACAGAGAAACAGAUCCAAGGAAGUCUCUAGAGCUCUGGGUAAAACUUCAAGUUAAUGUGGUUCCAGGUGGUUUCAUUUUGUGUGGCCUCUUCUGGCAAACAGCUCCCGGUGAGACCUCCCUGUCAGCUGAGACCUUUCUAUUGUGUUGCUGGCCUGCAGCAUCUCAGGGUUUGCAGGGAACAAAGAUGAAUGGGUACCUGCACAGUGCUGAGCGGAGCAAGGGCCCAGAAGUGCAGGCUGGUACCACUCAUCCGGGAACAGCCCACAGGGAGGUGUUCUUAUCUCCUGACCAAGAACUGGAGGAUCAGGAAUCCCCUCCGGGAAGUUACAAAACUGCUCUAAGUUUACACAGCGUUUAGGGGACAAAGCCAGGAAUCCGCCCCAGUCUAACAGACUCCAAAGUCCAAGGUCUGCUCUGGAAGCCUCGCUGAGCUGUGCACUGCUUAAGGGAACUGAACGACUCAGAGGCCAAAGGACAUUGUUCACAACUGGACUCAAGACCACCCAGGGCCGGGAACAUCUCCUGAGAAAGGUCCCUCCCUGUACCUGGGGUCAUUGCCAGGUGCUGGGAAAGUGUGCUCCAUGGGAGCUGAGGGGUUGCUUCAGGCUGCGCCUCGUGUGUAGGUGGCACUCCACUGGGGCCUGGACGCAUGAACAGAAUUGGAAGGAGGGCAUCUUCCUCCGUCAGCUCAGAUGAGGCUUGUGUGUCGGUCCCAGAAGCAGAGCUUAACCGACAGACCGGAGGCAGGUGCGCAGAGACUGAACGCAUUGUGCUGAGAGGUCACGAGACUCCACCGGGGAACAGGGAACAAAACAGCUACAGAGGGUGAGGCAAGAGGAGGAACCAAGGAGGAUCCCUCAACGUGUGGGUCAGGCAAAGGCACCAAGAACUGAUGGCUGCUAUCUGCCGCUCACCCAAGGAGAAAUUCAAGGAAAAGGAGGGCCGCUGGGUGAGGGGAUGGACAAGCAGACUCCUGAGGAGGAAGGGACAACCAGGGGAGAUGUCCGUCCCGGACUGCAACACACGGCUCCACUCAGGCUUCCAAGAACCGACUGAGUUCCCAGCAUUUACCAUCAGCACUCCAGCACUCCUGAUGCCGUCGGAGACGCCAUAAAAUGACAAGUGUUCCUGCACAUUCAUCUCCUAGGACCGUAAUGAAAAAUCCCCUCCUAGAGACCUUCGCUGACCACCCAAGUUGUCCUCCACCCAGCACUGACUCCAAGCAGGGCACUCUGCCACUGUCCUGACAGCAGCGACCCUGCGUGGUGCAACACAUGCCCCUGUCUGCAGUCUUGUUUGCGACCUGACCCCUCCCCCAUCGUGAGAUGCCUCAAGGCCAGUGACCACACUGUGCUCCCCACUCUGUAGGCAGCACCGUGAGGAGCUCAUGGGACAAGCUCCUGAAAUGCUAGCUGAUGGAUCAAAGACCCUGUGGAGGAGCUGAAGCACCAGGAGACGUUUAUUCUAGACCAGGAACCACGCAAAUGGCAGCUCUGAUUCUACUUUCCUUAAGAUUUAAAGACGUGGGGCCGGCGCUGUGGCAUAGCCCGUAAAGACUCCACCUGCAGUGCCGGCAUCCCAUAUGGGCGCAGGUUGGAGUCCCAGCUGCUCCACUUCCGAUCCAGCUCUCUGCUGUGGCCUGGGGAAGCAGUGGAGGAUGGCCCAAGUGCUUGGGCCCCUGCACCAGCAUGGGAGAUCUGGAAGAAGUUCCUGGCUCCUGGCUUUAGACAGGCCCAACUCCGAAUAUUGUGGCCAUUUGGGGAGUGAACCAUAAGAUUUCUCUUUCUCUGCCUCUGCCUCUCUGUAACUCUGCCUUCCAAUAAAUUAUUAAAUAUUUUUUUAGAAAAAAGAUUUAAAGACUUGUAGUUUGUGAAUCGAGAUGGUAAACCCAGAAAGCCACAAGGAAAUGGAUGGCAUCUGUAUCCAGCCAGGGCUGCUUGUCCCUCACUGGACCAGGCAGACUUGGGGGGCCAGCCCAGGGGGUACCCAAGCAAAAACUGGACCUCUUUUCCAGGGUUACAUGGUGGGGGGUAGGGUUUAAGUCUUAGAUGGGAGUCUGGACUGUAUAACCUCAGAAAACCCUUUCAUUCUUUACUUAUUUGAAAGGGAGAGAGAGAGAGGAGGGGGAG